AUUGAACGCUGGCGGCAUGCUUUACACAUGCAAGUCGAACGGGGUUUACGGAGCUUGCUCUGUAAACUUAGUGGCGAACGGGUGAGUAUAACAUCGGAACGUGCCGAGUAGAGGGGGAUAACUAGUCGAAAGAUUAGCUAAUACCGCAUACGCUCCACGGAGGAAAGUGGGGGACCUUAGGGCCUCACACUAUUCGAGCGGCCGAUGCCUGAUUAGCUAGUUGGUAGGGUAAGAGCCUACCAAGGCAACGAUCAGUAGCGGUUCUGAGAGGAAGAUCCGCCACACUGGGACUGAGAGACGGCCCAGACUCCUACGGGAGGCAGCAGUGGGGAAUUUUGGACAAUGGGGGCAACCCUGAUCCAGCCAUGCCGCGUGUCUGAAGAAGGCCCUCGGGUUGUAAAGGACUUUUGUUAGGGAGCAAAUCGCACUUGUAAAUAAUGAGUGUGGAUGAGAGUACCUAAAGAAUAAGCACCGGCUAACUACGUGCCAGCAGCCGCCGUAAU
rnacentral:rRNA from 1 species